rnacentral:rRNA from 1 species
UACGUAGGGUCCGAGCGUUGUCCGGAAUUACUGGGCGUAAAGGGCUCGUAGGCGGCCAACUAAGUCGGACGUGAAAUCCCCAGGCUCAACCUGGGAACUGCGUCCGAGACUGCAUGGCUAGAGUAUGGGAGAGGGAAGUGGAAUUUCAGGUGUAGCGGUGAAAUGCGUAGAUAUCUGAAGGAACAUCAGUGGCGAAAGCGACUUCCUGGACCAAUACUGACGCUCAUGUGCGAAAGCGUGGGGAGCAAACAGG